GAUGAACGCUAGCGGCAGGCCUAAUACAUGCAAGUCGAGGGGUAGUGGUUGCUUGCAGCCAUGAGACCGGCGCACGGGUGCGUAACGCGUAUGCAACCUACCUUCAUCUGGGGGAUAGCCCGGAGAAAUCCGGAUUAAUACCGCAUAAAAUCACAGUACGGCAUCGUACAAUGAUCAAACAUUAAUGGGAUGGAGAUGGGCAUGCGUGUCAUUAGUUAGUUGGCGGGGUAACGGCCCACCAAGACCGCGAUGACUAGGGGAUCUGAGAGGAUGACCCCCCACGCUGGUACUGAGACACGGACCAGACUCCUACGGGAGGCAGCAGUAAGGAAUAUUGGUCAAUGGGCGCAAGCCUGAACCAGCCAUGCCGCGUGCAGGAAGACGGCCCUCUGGGUUGUAAACUGCUUUUAUUCGGGAAUAAACCUGCUUACGUGUAAGUAGCUGAAUGUACCGAAGGAAUAAGGAUCGGCUAACUCCGUGCCAGCAGCCGCAGUAACAC
rnacentral:rRNA from 1 species